CCCGGGGCGGCUUACCAUGCAAGUCGAACGAUGAACCGCUUUCGGGCGGGGAUUAGUGGCGAACGGGUGAGUAACACGUGGGCAAUCUGCCCUGCACUCUGGGACAAGCCCUGGAAACGGGGUCUAAUACCGGAUAUGACCGUCUGCCGCAUGGUGGAUGGUGUAAAGCUCCGGCGGUGCAGGAUGAGCCCGCGGCCUAUCAGCUUGUUGGUGAGGUAGUGGCUCACCAAGGCGACGACGGGUAGCCGGCCUGAGAGGGCGACCGGCCACACUGGGACUGAGACACGGCCCAGACUCCUACGGGAGGCAGCAGUGGGGAAUAUUGCACAAUGGGCGAAAGCCUGAUGCAGCGACGCCGCGUGAGGGAUGACGGCCUUCGGGUUGUAAACCUCUUUCAGCAGGGAAGAAGCGAAAGUGACGGUACCUGCAGAAGAAGCGCCGGCUAACUACGUGCCAGCAGCCGCGGUAAUACGUAGGGCGCAAGCGUUGUCCGGAAUUAUUGGGCGUAAAGAGCUCGUAGGCGGCUUGUCACGUCGGUUGUGAAAGCCCGGGGCUUAACCCCGGGUCUGCAGUCGAUACGGGCAGGCUAGAGUUCGGUAGGGGAGAUCGGAAUUCCUGGUGUAGCGGUGAAUUGGCGUAGAAA
rnacentral:rRNA from 1 species